ACGAGCGUUGGACGAGCGUUCCGGAACGUCGCGGUGACGUCACCAUAGAGAGAGGGGUGUGGCGAUGACGUCGUCGCCGCGCGGUAGUUGCGAUGCGCGCGACGCCUCUGACGUCAUGUAACGGGAUGGUGAAGUGGAGAGGUCCAGUGACACCCCGGCCAGCUCUUUUACCACGAUCACAUCAGCUGGAGAAAUAUCCCACUAAAAACGGCAGCUGCAACAAUAUCCUGGGUGAUGAUGCAUCACAUCAGAGUGACCACCACACAUGGAAGCACCAGAGCAGGAACCGGGAGGCAAGCCGAGAGAGAGGUGGCUCCAAGUGGUGAACCAGGAUGGAAAAGAAUGCGGAGUGGACAUGGAGUUCAAGACCUAGGCCAGCUAUGUAUGGUGAAAGAGUAUCAGAAAGGUAGAGCCUACAUCAAUAAGAUACUAGCCAGUUAUUAAGAGUUGCCCAUUGUAUGUUUCCUGUUUAACUAUUGCAGUUAUUUUGUAUACAGUAUGUAUAUUAUUGUAUUCAUAAACUGUGUGGCUUCACAACUGUUUACCUUCGCUGUAAAUGUGUCUUGAGACGCGUAUACAUUUAGGUGCUACAUCAAUUACAAUUGUCGUUCACAUUGGAUAUCUGGCUUCAGCGAUGAAUCUUCCAGGAUGAUCUCACACAAGUCGAGACACGGUAAUCUGGCGUACGUGAGUGAUCCUGGGAGUGCCAUGCACUGCCCCUACAGUCUGUUAAGGCUAUAGGGGCGUCUUUGUGCCCCUCAACUAUUCAUACCAACACGCGCGAGGGCGAAUUCAGAACAAUUGACACCGGCUGCACGUGAUGGCAAGCACUUCCAGGCGGUUAGAUUCUCGACCGCUUAUACCUACGGACGGCUCACAGACAUAGACUCUGAUUUGAGCAAGCUCGUUAAAUAACGGCGCCAAUUUGUGGUUCGUGCAGGUGUAGUGGAAUAAAGAGGCGCAUGGGUGGUAAUUGGUGAGUUUGCGCGGGAGCAGGGCAGUAGGGGGUCAUAUUGGGACGAUGAGGUACCGAUUGUGCCAAUUAAGCUGGGGGGAGCCAGGGACGGCUGUGAUUGGCUGGUGUGGUUGUCAGUGCUGGAGUGUGAUUGGCUGGUGUUGUUGUCAGUGCUGGAGUGGCGUCUUGAAGUCUGGCGAGGUGACAGGCGCACGGGCACGCGGAGUGCCGUUGGGACUGCGGGUUAAUUAAUUGGGGUGUAAUGAGAGCUGGGACAAAUUGGGGAGACGCGAGAAGAAACGGGGAGUUGGAGUCGGGGGGGCUGGACGAGGCAAGACGUGGAGCAGCUGAAGAGAGAAGCAGCUAGCAGUGGAGAGAGCAUAGUGAUAGCGAA